UACAGAGGGUGCAAGCGUUAAUCGGAAUUACUGGGCGUAAAGCGCGCGUAGGCGGUUUGUUAAGUCGGAUGUGAGAUCCCUGGGCUCAACCUAGGCACUGCAUCCGAUACUGGCUAACUAGAGUGUAAAAGAGGAAGGUAGAAUUCCAGGUGUAGCGGUGAAAUGCGUAGAGAUCUGGAGGAAUACCGAUGGCGAAGGCAGCCUUCUGGCCUAACACUGACGCUGAGGUGCGAAAGCAUGGGGAGCAAACAGG
rnacentral:rRNA from 1 species